rnacentral:rRNA from 1 species
AACGUAGGUGGCGAGCGUUAUCCGGAUUUACUGGGCGUAAAGGGUGUGCAGGCUGCCCCUCAAGUGGUGUAUGAAAGCACCCGGCUCAACCGGGUCACGGUAUGCCAGACUGAAGGGCUAGAGAGCGAGAGCGGGACGUGGAAUUCCGGGUGUAGUGGUGAAAUGCGUAGAGAUCCGGAGGAACCCCAGAGGCGAAGGCGGCUCACUGGCCCGGUACUGACGCUGAGGUGCGAAAGCGUGGGGAGCAAACAGG